AGGCUAGGGAUGUUGGUAGGUAGGGCAACGAGUAGGCUAGAGGGAUGUUGGUAGGUAGGGCAACGAGUAGGCUAGAGGGAUGUUGGUAGGUAGGGCAACGAGUAGGCUAGAGGGAUGUUGGUAGGUAGGGCAACUAGGCUAGAGGGAUGUUGGUAGGUAGGGCAACGAGUAGGCUAGAGGGAUGUUGGUAGGUAGGGCAACGAGUAGGCUAGAGGGAUGUUGGUAGGUAGGGCAACGAGUAGGCUAGAGGGAUGUUGGUAGGUAGGGCAACGAGUAGGCUAGAGGGCAAAAGGACCCACUAAGACUCAACUGGAAGAAUCCAAGCACUCUUUCACACAGACACAGCAGUAUUUAUCUUCUCACCCAUCUGCUUCACAUACUUGAAAUGGGCCAGUUUCUUGAACUAAGGAAGCAAUCCGUGCGUUUCAGUCCAGGACAAGGCUUAAACAUGUGAAAAUCUAAUGAGAGCUUUACACAAACCCAGGAAUAGUAAAAUAAUCAGUACAGUAUCGGUUUGGAGGUUUGUCCCUGUAACUAAACAGUCAGGUAGGUAGAUUCCCUCUCGAAGCCCCAAUACCACCUCUUCCCCCACAUUAACUGAAAAGACGUCCACUCCCUUCUCUCAAACCUGGUAAAUUCAUUUAGACGACAGCAAAAAACCAUUAAAUUCCACAUGUUAAAAAAAAAAAAAAA